rnacentral:rRNA from 1 species
AUAAUCCACCUUCGAAUUGGGGAUAACGUUGCGAAAGCGACGCUAAUACCGAAUAAUAUCCAUUAACCUUCGGUUUUUUUGGAUCAAGGGUGGCCUCUACAUGUAAGCUACUGUUUGAAGAUGAGUCCGCGUACCAUUAGCUUGUUGGUGGGGUAAUGGCCUACCAAGGCAACUAUGGUUAGCUGGUCUGAGAGGAUGAUCAGCCACACUGGAACUGACACACGGUCCAG